rnacentral:rRNA from 1 species
UACGAAGGGGGCUAGCGUUGCUCGGAAUUACUGGGCGUAAAGCGCACGUAGGCGGCUCUUUAAGUCGGGGGUGAAAUCCUGGAGCUCAACUCUAGAACUGCCUUCGAUACUGGAGAGCUCGAGUCCGGGAGAGGUGAGUGGAACUGCGAGUGUAGAGGUGAAAUUCGUAGAUAUUCGCAAGAACACCAGUGGCGAAGGCGGCUCACUGGCCCGGUACUGACGCUGAGGUGCGAAAGCGUGGGGAGCAAACAGG